GGGGUCAUGGUGCAAUCCGGUAACACGGCAGGCUCCAGACCUGCAUAUCGGAGUUCAAAUCUCCGUGACCCCA
rnacentral:tRNA from 1 species